AGCAAUCUACUUUCACCAAACUAUAUCCUUGCAGGCUAAGAUCCAAAGAGACCAUAUAUACUCACUAAUCUUUAGAUGAUGGUCGGUUUUGUCCCCUGAUAAACAAAGGCUAAUAAACUUGUACUGUAUUUUUUCCUUUGUUCUAAACAAUUACAAACAAACAAAGCUUCCUGCCACUGCUAAGAUCAAAGCUCCUACAAGAAUCGGCAAAACAUAAAAUCAUGGAGGAAAAUUUGAUCUGAUAGGAUCUCCAUUGCCGGAUCGUCUGGAGAAGGAUCAUGUACAUGUUGUGAAUGGCUUUCCAUGAGAAGUUUCUUGCUUUCAACAAAUUGGCUAGAUGGGGAAUGCAACCUCCUGAGUCAUGGGAAAAAUCUGAACUCAAAGUGACUAGAAUAUUUUUUGUAGGAAUAUGACGUAUGGGAUGACAAUUUUGAGCAAAAUGCUAUGUGAAUAAGCCAGGAAAAGCCUCAGAAAUCGUCUGACCUUGCGGCUUGGUGCUUUGCAGAGGUGAACAUGCAUUGAAUUUAUCUAUUAGGCUUGUGAAAUUAACCCAUGAGAUUAUAUAUCUUGUGCAUCCUCCAUUCUUUUUCUUUCUUCCGGCUUUUCACACUUGACUUUAAUGAAUUGUGUUAACAAAGGUAUUAUUUCAUUACAUCCAUCUCUUGCUAAUGCAAAAUUUUGAACACAAAUAUAUUUUAAUUAUCACUAAGUAA